rnacentral:rRNA from 1 species
CUUCGGGCCUUGGUAGCGCAGCUAACGCGUGAAGUUGACCGCCUGGGGAGUACGGUCGCAAGAUUAAAACUCAAAGGAAUUGACGGGGACCCGCACAAGCGGUGGAUGAUGUGGAUUAAUUCGAUGCAACGCGAAAAACCUUACCUACCCUUGACAUGUCUGGAAUGCCGAAGAGAUUUGGCAGUGCUCGCAAGAGAACCGGAACACAGGUGCUGCAUGGCUGUCGUCAGCUCGUGUCGUGAGAUGUUGGGUUAAGUCCCGCAACGAGCGCAACCCUUGUCAUUAGUUGCUACGAAAGGGCACUCUAAUGAGACUGCCGGUGACAAACCGGAGGAAGGUGGGGAUGACGUCAAGUCCUCAUGGCCCUUAUGGGUAGGGCUUCACACGUCAUACAAUGGUCGGGACAGAGGGUCGCCAACCCGCGAGGGGGAGCCAAUCCCAGAAACCCGAUCGUAGUCCGGAUCGCAGUCUGCAACUCGACUGCGUGAAGUCGGAAUCGCUAGUAAUCGCGGAUCAGCAUGUCGCGGUGAAUACGUU